GAAAAUGAAGGGAUUUUCAUGGGGUAAAUGUGUAUGUGGCUGGUGCAUAUCUCAUUUCACGGUUUAAAUUUCAUAAAGUUUUUGAGGAUGCCAAUGUGCUGCUGUUUAGACUCGUCUGUUUAUGCGAUGUAGCGCCUGAUGUUGGAGGUAAACGAGUGAGUGACAGAGUAACGCUAACUUUUGUUGGCGUCAUUGACGAUGCAUGGCUUGUUGUGAUCACAUCCCAUAACGCAUCAAUCUCACCGAAAAGUGUCUCCCCCUGGGGACAUCUUGGUGUUGGAUAUGUGGAUAUGUAUACACCACCUUUGAAACCUUAUUCGUGCUCAUCCGUCACUGAGCUUCGAUUUCACGCAUCUACUCAUUCGGCUUGGGAUGUUUAUUUAUGAGGCUGAUGGCGCCCUCACGUGCACCGUUGCCGUGUGAGAAUGACCUUGAGAAUUGAAUUAGUUUAAAUUAAUGGUUGAAUUUCACGCGAAGAAAGGGAGGGAAUGCCCUCCGGGUUUCCUAUUAUAACCCAGGGCACAGUGUCGGCAAUUCUCGCUGGAAUUUUCUUACUUUUACCCGGAAAAACUACCGGAACAGUUACUCUACUUCUACCGUAAAUAGUACAUUAUGCAACAAGUGCGGUAGUGAUUUUCUGAUGAGCUUUCAGUCUCCUGGCGGGAUCCAUGGAGAACGGACGUUUCUCCCUGGUGCGAUUUUAAAGAAUAAAAGAUGUGGAUCAACGAAGAUGGAAAAAGGCCGGGAUUUCCGGAACAGCAUAAAAGUACUGGACACAAUAGUCAGAGAGAAUAUACCAACGAAUCGAAUAUCGUAUCACUGAAUAAUAGCAGUGAAAAACAGUAUGUACAACGCGCCAUAAAAAUCGACGGCUCAGCGGCACGAAACUCUCCACCAACCAGGAACAAUAUGGAGCUUAUAACGAAACCAUACACAAGAGCAACCACAAGUGUUGGGGAUGUUAUUGCGGGGGGGCUGGUUACUGAUUUACUGCUCUCAGUGAGUGUGAAUCCCUUCCUUUGACUUCCAAAUGCGGUGAAAAUCCUCCAAGGUCGCAAAGUGAAUCAAUCAAGAUGCCAUUUAUAAGAGAAUAUCUGGUGGCAAUGGCAAAAGUUUCUCUUUUUUGGCAGUAGCAGUACUGGCGGAAUGAAUGCAAACAAUGUAUCCCAAGGGAGGCGUAAAGCAUUGGACCACGACAACGGGUGAACACCAUUCAUUCCAAUUGUUGGAGCAAGAAGUUCCAAUUUAAAUUCAGUGGAGGAAGGAGGGCUUCUGGUACUGUGGCCAGUGCGAUUAUAAUUGCAUCAAGGGCAAAAGACGCUGUGAACUUUUUAAAAGUGUUAGAGGGAAGAUUGGGUAUGGAGGUAAGGGAAAACUUUUCAACUUAAACCACUGAGGCACUUGGAACUUUGAAUGUCUACAAAUCUCAAACGCACAUGAAUCUAAUCCCUUAAUUAGCGUUGAUACUUUCAUCCCUUUCUCGUUCAUAAGAUCUUAAAGUUGUAAAGGGAAGUUGAUCGGGAUUGUGAAGUUUGUCGCGAGGAUGCAUCAUACAUGAGACAAGUUCAAUUAGCAAUUUGGAUAUGUGAUUACGAAAGUGAAAGGACCAGCCGAGUGAGAAAGAAGUUUUGAUUUUCAUGAGUCAACACGUAAUUUCGUUAAAAAAUGGGAGAAUGUUGGAAUUACCUGCAAUGAGUCAGUCUAAAAAAACUGACUGUCUGCAGUGAGCUAUUGACCACUGUCGUACAACCACCAUCAUCCAGCACCACAUGGGGACAUACAGCUAUGUUGCCCGACUCACAAUUUACGAGGCGUUGUCGCGGUCUCGCAAGGUCGUAUAACGAGAUUUACGAGGCGCGUCUUUCCGCGCCCGCGCCUGAAAGUGGGAUAUACGAUUGGGGAAAACCGAACGGUAGCCCAAAAUGUAUUUUUUUUUUCUUCUCUACACCGACAACGGGUAGCACAGAAUGUGCAGAGAAUCACCAAAGAGGGACUAGGCUAUCGAAUGAAUUUUACGAUUUGCCGACACCUGGUGUUAGCUGCAUUGUGUACUUGACGCCUUCUAUGGACCACCGAUCCAGCCUGUUUCCCACAAAUUUUCCACGAACUUCCGAACGACCCGGGUCGCGUGCUAUUGGGAUUUUCUUUUUAUAUUUUUUUUCCCUCCAGUUGGUGAAUUGCAGUGGAGCGCACGGCAGCGGGAAUAAUGACGGAGGGAUUCUUCAGGUUUUUAUGAGUUUCAGAGCCGAUUAUCUAAUGUAAGUGGCGCGCAAAGGGAAUUGACAACGAUGAGUGUGUAAGCGACAGACGGAGAAAAAAGAUGGGAAGACUCUGGGGAGCCAACAGAAUAGGACUGAGGGAGGAAAGUCUCCCGGGCACAUCCGGUGGAGUUGAAGGAAAAGAGAGAAUCGUGGACCUUAAGCUUUCAGACUGCUGGGAUCCUUUCUGAAGGUGCAAUUAAAUAUUUAAUCCGUGUAUUUGGAGAGCCUCGUGUUUGGGGAAAAGACUUGAUUAUUUGGAUUGCAAGUUGAAAGAGAAUGUUUAAUACUUUAGUGAAUGUCAAUGUUCUUCGGGUUUAAGUUGGGCAAAACAAUAACGGGAAUUGUUGGAAGUUUGCUGUGAAUUCCAUUUGAGAUAAACGCCAGUUGGGAUAGGCAUUUCCGACAUUCCUUCAAUUCUGAUGGACGCACAUUAUUGGAGAGAUAUUUUAAAUCAGAAUACUGUAAUGGGGGCGGUUCAUUCGGUACACGAGGUCCCGAAAAAUACCGGAUUUUACCCCUUCGACGGUCCAGGUGUUUCCCUGAAUAAUAUAAUCAUUCGUAAGGAAAGCUUUCUCAGUAUCAUGUUUGGAAUAUUGUUGUCUACACAGAAUAAUUGAUAUUUCCUGUUGAAGAAAAAGAUCCACACGAUUCCACGUUUUCUUAUGAAUAAUGUGUGUCCACUCGUUUUAGCGAGUUACAAUGGAAUUAUGCACCACAUGAUGGACGUAAGGGUCGAUAUUUCAAUGAUUCAUUGAUAACUCUUCAGCUCCCUUGCACCAGAAUACCCUGGAAAAUCCGCUGGAACUCCUUGGAAGUUCCAUUUUUAAUGGCAACUGAGCAUACUGCAAGACUCUGGCUCCAUUUGAAAAUCAUCGUAUCCGACGAGUUUCAAACAUAGUUGGAGAGUUGAAAUUAUUCAGGGAAUCAUUACAGAAUCGAUAGAUGAAUCUGUUUUAGCUCUGAAGUAAAGUGCUAAGAUAUUCACCUUAGUACCAAAGUUUUCUGGCACUUAUAGAACUUGAGGUAAGAGAGUAUUAACUCAAAUAUUUGAUAUCGAGAGGAGGAUUUUUAUAAUUAACUGAAAUUGUUUGGUAACGGUUUCAGCUGACUCCUGUCAUUGUGUACCAUUCGUGCUACAUUAUCUUGAGGCUCUUCUUCCUAAAAUAAUAAUUAAUAAUAAUA